UGACUCUCCCCGGCGUGCACGCAGUCUGUUUAACAGACUUUCGGCUGGACAUUUGGCACGCGCUAAUCCGCCUCGCGCUCCGCUACGCACUGAGAAGAAUGGAGACGUCGCACCACGUAAAAAAGAAAAGAAAAAACCCCAACGUGACCCGCAUGAGCCGCGGGCAACACAGCGGCUGCUUCUCCUCGCGCUGCAGCAUCCGACCCUGCGCUGCUGCGCGCGGCUCUUUGAACGUCUCCAUUUCGCACAAACCGUUUUCACUUUUACGCAUACUCGUCUCUGCUGACGGCUAAAACGGAGUCUUUUCUGGCGCCGCGAGGACCCGACGGUGCAGCCGUGGGGAGACCGGGGGAGGACGGAGCGAGCUGAGAGGAAGGAAGCGUGGAGCUGUGGCGUGAAGUCACACAGAAAUACACACACACACGCGCGUGGUCUGAACCUGCACGACAACGGGUCAGAAGAAGCGCACAUGGCCGCCUGCUCUGAGGGUCAGAGGUCACCGUCUGAAUCAGAACAAGACGUCGUCACUCCGAAGAUACAGAAGGAAGACGAGGAGGAGGAGGAGGAGGAAAUCGAGAAGCAGAGUGGGUGGAGGGAUGCAAGGAGAGCGGGGUGGAAGCAGUUCGAGGAGGUGGUUCCGAGCGGGUGAACCCGGAGCAGGUGAACACAGCUGUGGAUCGCCGGGGGCUCUCUGGCUGCCCUCCUCCUGUGGCCCCGGCGCUGCUUUGCGAGGGGGAGGGGGAGGGGUGUCCCGGGGAGCCCCGGCAGGGGCCAGCCGGAGCCGCGGCGAGAGAGAGUGGGCAGGCUGGGCCAGCCCGAGCCGGGAGAGAGGCAGGUGAGGCGGGUGAGCCGGGGCCCUCGUCCCCGCCGGCUAUAGGAGCCUCUCCGCGGCGGCGGAAAUCGAUGCGGGAGGAGAGAGGCGAGCAGAGGUUGCUCAGCAGCGCCUGCGGGCCCCGGAGCCCAGGGACCGGGGGGAAAAGCACCGCCGCUCGCAGCUUUUUUUUUUUUUUUUACCGAGCCGUCCCGGCACCAGCCGGGGCCGAGGCCCCUCGCCGCCCGGCGCAGAGCGUGCGUGCCAGGAGGCUCACAUGAGGAGACGGAGAGAGAGAGAGAGAGAGAGAGAGAGAGAGAGGGAGUCUUUGUGUGUGGUUCAGCCGGAGGGUUUUUUCCUUCUUCUUCUUUUUUUUUUCCUCGCCGCGUCCGAGCACCACUUGAUAAAACUUUGUCAGAGAGACACGGAGACGGCGAGGAGGGGAGAAUGAGACAGGACGCCGAAGGUCGCUUUUCUUCCGGCUCCCUUCCCCCCCCCCCCACCCCCUCAUUGCUCAUUCCACCUCAAACCGCUCGACAAAGGAGCCACCGGAGGGAGACGGCACGCGGGACGUCCUCGGCUCGUUCCCGCUUGCCGAGCGCGAUAUUUCCUCAGAUCUGACGCGCCCGGAUGAAAGGACGAUUUGAACUUUUUCCUCUCAUCGCCGGUAUCAGACACAGCCUGUCUCUUCGCCUUAGAUUUUCUCACCCUCGAUACGGCAGCUCCCAUCAGAGGAUAUGGCAGAGCGGUAUUGAUCCACAGGGUGGAAGAAGGUCCCCCCCCUCUCCCUCUCUCUCUCUCUCUCUCUCUCUCUCUCUCUCUCUCUUUCUCUCUCUCUCGAUGUGGGUGGAAAUAGCACCUGAAGUCCACUUACUGCUGUGCAGCUGGGAUCCCAUGAAAGCACAAGUGAAUGGCUGCUAAUUGAAUGAGAGAUGAAAAGGACAGUGGUUGUUGUACCUGCUCCCCCCCCCCCCACCAGCCCCUAGCCCCCCCCCCUUCCAAAGUCACAAAGAAGCUUCGCCUUUCAGAUGUUUUAUAAAAAUUGGCGGUGGCUAAAGAAAAAGUUG